GACGAACGCUGGCGGCGUGCUUAACACAUGCAAGUCGAACGAUGAAACCUAGCUUGCUAGGUCGAUUAGUGGCGAACGGAUGAGUAACACGUGACUAACCUGCCCCUUUCUCUGGGAAUAACGCUCCGAAAGGAGUGCUAAUACCGGAUACUCACAUCGAGGCACAUGCCUUGGUGUGGAAAGUUUUUCGGAAAGGGAUGGAGUCGCGGCCUAUCAGCUUGUUGGUGAGGUAACGGCUCACCAAGGCGACGACGGGUAGCCGGCCUGAGAGGGCGACCGGCCCCACUGGGACUGAGACACGGCCCAGACUCCUACGGGAGGCAGCAGUGGGGAAUAUUGCACAAUGGGCGCAAGCCUGAUGCAGCGACGCCGCGUGAGGGAUGAAGGUCUUCGGAUUGUAAACCUCUUUCAGUAGGGACGAAGCGAAAGUGACGGUACCUAAAGAAGAAGCACCGGCUAACUACGUGCCAGCCGCCGCGGUAA
rnacentral:rRNA from 1 species